GCUUGGUCCUAGCCUUACUGUCAAUUUCUACUUAACUUACACAUGCUAGUAUCCGCACACCCGUGAAAACGCCCUUAACACCUUACUAGGAUAAGGAGCCGGUAUCAGGCACAGUAACUUGCCCACAACACCUAGCUUCGCCACACCCCCAAGGGUUUUCAGCAGUGAUAAACAUUGUUAAUAAGCGCCAGCUUGACUCAGUUAAAGUAAACAGGGCCGGCCAACCCGGUGCCAGCCGCCGCGGCUAUCCCGUCGGGCCCAAAUUGACUUGCUACGGUGUUAAACGUGUUUUAAGUACCCUAACAAUUAGAAUUUUAUUUUGACCAAGUUGUGAUACACUUGUUGCUAAGAAAGACAAAAACGAAAGUUAUUCUAAUCUAACCACUUGAACCCACGACAGCUGGGGCACAAACUGGGAUUAGGUACCCCACUAUGCCCAGCCGUAAAAUAUUUAUUUACGUCACUAACCACCAGGGAAUUACGAGCCCAAGCUUAAAACCCAAAGGACUUGACGGUGCCCCACCCACCUAGAGGAGCCUGUUCUAUAAUCGAUUUUCCACGUUAUACCCAACCGUUUUUAGCCUAUCAGCCUGUAUACCUCCGUCGCAAGCUUACCAUAUGAACGUAAAUUAGUGAGCCAAAAGAUCUUAAACCAACACGUCAGGUCAAGGUGCAGCCCAAAAAACGGAAAGAAAUGGGCUACAAUUUCUAACUUAGAACACACGAAAGGCUGCAUGAAACACAGCCAUGAAGGCGGAUUUAGUAGUAAAAAGAAAAUAGAGAGUUCUUUUUAAUCAGGCACUGGGACGCGUACACACCGCCCGUCACCCUCUUCAAUUUAUGCUGACUAAGGUCUAUAACACAACUAUGCACCACAGAAGAGGUAAGUCGUAACAUGGUAAGUGUACUGGAAGGUGCACUUGGAUUA
rnacentral:ncRNA from 1 species